AUUGAACGCUGGCGGCAUGCCUUACACAUGCAAGUCGAACGGCGGCGGACCUUCGGGUGCCGGCGAGUGGCGAACGGGUGAGUAAUGCAUCGGAACGUGCCAUUGAGUGGGGGAUAACGUAGCGAAAGUUGCGCUAAUACCGCAUAUUCUGUGAGCAGGAAAGCAGGGGACCGCAAGGCCUUGCGCUCUUUGAGCGGCCGAUGUCAGAUUAGCUAGUUGGUGAGGUAACGGCUUACCAAGGCGACGAUCUGUAGCGGGUCUGAGAGGAUGAUCCGCCACACUGGAACUGAGACACGGUCCAGACUCCUACGGGAGGCAGCAGUGGGGAAUUUUGGACAAUGGGGGCAACCCUGAUCCAGCCAUGCCGCGUGAGUGAAGAAGGCCUCGGGUUGGUUAAA
rnacentral:rRNA from 1 species